rnacentral:rRNA from 1 species
CCUACGGGAUGCAGCAGUGAGGAAUAUUGGUCAAUGGCCGUAAGGCUGAACCAGCCAAGUAGCGUGAGGGAAGACUGCCCUAUGGGUUGUAAACCUCUUUUAUGCGGGGAUAAAGGUGUCCACGUGUGGAGGUUUGAAGGUACCGCAUGAAUAAGGACCGGCUAAUUCCGUGCCAGCAGCCGAGGUAAUACGGAAGGACCGGGUGUUAUCCGGAUUUAUUGGGUUUAAAGGGAGCGUAGGCCGGUCUUUAAGCGUGCCGUGAAAUUUUGUGGCUCAACCAUGAGAGUGCGGCGCGAACUGGGGACCUUGAGUGCGCGGAAGGCAGGCGGAAUUCGUGGUGUAGCGGUGAAAUGCUUAGAUAUCACGAAGAACCCCGAUUGCGAAGGCAGCCUGCCGCAGCGUUACUGACGCUGAAGCUCGAAAGCGCGGGUAUCGAACAGGAUUAGAUACCCGGGUAGUC